GCAUCACUACACUGUGUAGAACACAGUAUGUGGGAAGAUCUUAGUUGUAACUGCCGCUGAGGCAGUAUUUAAGCCUGAAGUAUUUUUGUUCAUGCCUAUUAAUGGCGAUCGAUGAGGCGGAACAUUUUUCUGUGUCGUUUCACUCUGACCCGUUUUAGUGGCGGACCACCAGCUAGAGCUCCGCUAUAAAAGGCCAGUUUCUCUAAGUUUCUCUAAGCUGUUGACUGUUAUAGUUAUAAGUUUCUUAAGUCGUAUUAACCACCUCUCAAGCCUGUAUAUGCAGCUAAUAAGGUCAUUAUAGAUCUCCCAGGCAUAUGCAGUCUUCCGGCAGUAUGCCACAUAAUGCCCAAGAGAAUCCUGGGUCAGUCCUGGUUCAAAGCCAAUGACUUCUCUUUUAGCUCCAGACUGGAGGGAAAUUCAAGGCAACUUCCUUGCAACUGCUACCAAGACGGACACUGGGAAUGAUUUUCAAUUGGCCUGAGGCAGAGAGAGUCAGGAAGGCUGAGUCCCUCUUCAGCAGCAGUCUGAAGAGAAGCCAUGCCACAGCGCAAAUCCGCAUGUUUCCCUCAAUGAAGGAAAGAUGACGAGCAACAAACCGGUCCACACGAAUGGGUAGGCUUUCAUGCUUGAAAAGGCCUUUUUUUAUGUUUUUGAACUCUGCUUCAACAGCUGCGGAACUUGCAGUGAUGCUUGAAGAGAGGGACCAUUAUUGCUGUCCAGAGUGGCAAGUAACUUCCAAGUAUUGUUAUUUGGGGAAUAAUCUCAGGGAGGAAGUGGCUGUUGUCUCUAUCCCCAUCAGCCAUGGCAAGUGACCUGCUCUCCUCACAUAUUUCUGUCACCCAUUGUCGGACAUUAGUGUGGAUGUGCUGAUUUAAUGCAUCACCUGGUUCUUGUCCCUCAACUUGCUCAUCUGAAAUGGGGAGAAAUUCCUCUGAGAUUUGUGCUCUCAAGUAUUUCUUGCACUUUUCUGAUGGGAUAGGGGCUCCAGAAUUGUCAUUACCCUCUGUCUCACUCAGUGCCACAAUGGUGAUAGCACGAAGAAGUUCUUUUGCAUGUUGCAAACAUUGUGAUUUAAGAAGCUGUGCUAUUGACCUAACAAAGAAAUCCUUAACACGAGGUAUUUUGUUUUGCAGGCAGUCCCAUCGGCAGAUCAUCUUAAUACAGUGUGCUACAUCUACCCUGACAAAACAUGGGGUAGAUGUCCAGGUUGAUUCCCAUGUGAAAUGUUAAAGCACUCAUUGAUGUAGCUCUUCAGAUCAGGAUGAGGGGUAAAAGCUUUGACUAGAGCGCCAAGAAUCGCCAGAGAAAAGUCACUCACUGCUUCUUUAGGAACAGAUGCACCUGCAUAGAUCCAUUCCUUCAGCCACUGUGUGAUAGCAUUAACAUCAUGCUUCUCUGACAGCAUCUGCACGACUGGGACACUGGAGCUGGUAUGACCUGUCAGAACGCCCUGAUACAGGAAGAUAUAGCCAGACAUGCCAUUCGGCCUCAUCAGUUUUUUAACUAUUGAGCCAGUUGCACCAACACAUAUUAUUGGGUGAGAUUUCUUUAAGCUCUUGUACACAUGCAUUUGUGUUUGACUCAAAUAGUGACAGAAAAACUUGUCAAGUCCAAUGUCUUUGAUGCUGUCACUGUGAGGUGCACUGUAUUUCAACAUCUGCAAUGAUAAAAUUGGAUUUUUGUCACCUAAUGCCAAAUCAUUUUUCUCUUGCUUUGCCUUGGUGGCCAAAUUUGGCAGGUGGCUUGGCUCAGGGUCUCUGAAGUCCAUCAAUUUAUUUGCCUGUGAUGCUCGCCAUAGAUAUGGUUCCAUCCUGCCCUCACAAAGUUCCUUGGCUACCUGCACACGCAACUGUCCAGAUGGAAACCACUUUGAGCGACCAGUGUGUAGGGAGUCAUCACUGUUCUUAAUAAAACAGUUCAAUAUUAUUGGACUGUUAAUUUCUGGCUCUCCGCUACAAUUAAUGUUGAGAAGGCCAUGACACUCCUUGCAGUAUCCCCUGAUUUUGAUAUAAUUAUUUGAGACCAAUGGAGAGACCUUGGCUCUUUUAAAAACAAAUGUGCAAGGAAUUUUGACUGUUUUCCAGAUUUGUUCAUUUAUGAUGUGGGUCCAGGUGCCAGGUUUCAAAAUUGUAUAGUCUCUUUUCCGGGUUUUUUAUCUUUGUAUUCAGCCUUUUCCGGAAUAAAUUCCAUCCACUUGUCAAAAGGAAUAUGAAGCUGAAACGACCGGCCAUGUCCUGAUUCCGAGCUUGCUUCACUGCUAGUUUCAGGAUCAGUUUCAUCAUGACUGAAUCCCAGAGCUGACCAGAUAUUGCGUCUGUUUGUUUUUACAAAGGUGUACAGAGCCUUUGCAGACAUCUUCUUUUCCAACUGGUCACUCAGAUCUAUCCACACAGUAGCGCUUGGAGUGGCUACGUUACAGAGCCUUUGCAGACAUCUUCUUUUCCAACUGGUCACUCAGAUCUGUCCACACAGUAGCGCUUGGAGUGGCUACGUUACCAUUUUCAAGUAUGGCCUCUUUUGAUGAGCAGAGAACUGCAACAAUUAAAUCAUUGUCUACUGCUGGUUGUUUGGGCAUCUAGUUGAAGGACAAAUGUAAAUAUAAUCAGGAUUUAUUGCUUGAAUAAUUAAAAUUACUGUAUUUUCCGCACUAUUAGGUGCAUUUAAAAACUUACAUUUUACUCAAAAAAACACAGUGCGCCUUAUAAUGCAGAGCGCCUUAUAUUAAAAGAUUAAAGUCCCAAUGAUGGUCACACACACACCUGGGUGUGGUGAAAUUUGUCCUCUGCAUUUAACCCAUCCCCUGGGGGAGAGGGGAGCAGUGAGCAGCAGCGGUGCCGCGCUCGGGAAUCAGUUGGUGAUCUAACCCCCCAAUUCCAACCCUUAAUGCUGAGUGCCAAGCAGGGAGGCAAUGGGUCCCAUUUUUAUAGUCUUUGGUAUGACCCGGCCGGGGUUUGAACCCACAACCUUCCAGUCUCAGGGCGGACACUCUACCACAAGACCACUGAGCUGGUAUGGCUCAAUUGAUGAAUUUGUUGCUCCAUACUGGUUGUACACAGUGCUCUGCCAAAAUGUUUCAGUACGUUUUAGUAUGACUAGUAAAUUAUAAAGUUCGCAUGGCUUUCCAACAUUACGGCAACUGUGGUCAGGGGGCGUCACUGAAAAGCUGUUGUACCCGCGAGGCUAUUUCAUUUCAAAAUAGGCUGCUCCGUUAAUGUUUCGAGUAAAUUUACGGAUUGAUAUGGAAGGGAAACAUAGGUAAGCAGUACCAAUGUGUUAGAUCAAACUUUCGUCAGUUCCAAUCAUUUUAUAGGAGAUCGUUUGAGAAACGCGAUUGAUUACACUUUGCUGAGGCUCAUGGGGGUCUGCGAGCUGAGGCUCAUGGGAGUUUGCGGGUGGCUAAUGCUAUAAUAAUAGCUGGUAUACGCACAAGGCUAUUUCAUGUCAAAAUAGGCUGCUCCGUUAAUGUUUUGAGUAAAUUUACGGAUCGAUAUAGAAGGGAAACAUAGUACUAAGUAGUACCAGUGUUAGAUCGAACUUUAGUCAGUUCUGAUCAUUUUAUAGGAGAUUGUUUGAGAAACGCGAUUGUUUACAGAGGGCUCAUUGGUUAUUGGCUAGUGGAUGCACACCGCAACCCUAGUCUACCUCAGUUUGUUGCAGUAUAGCUUCUAUUUUAUGCGCCUUUUAAUCCGAUGCGCCCUAUAUAUGAAAUAAUUUCUAAAAUAAAGACUUCAAUGAGGGUGCGUCUUAUAAUCCAGUGCGCCUUUUGGUGCGAAAAAUACGGUACACAUGCGUGAUCAUUAUAAUUGCUUUGCAUGGACGGAAAAAUGAUGCAAAGGGAAAAAUAUUUUGACAUCAAAAUGUAUCAAGCAUGCUUUCUUUAGAAAUUUAGUUUUCUUGGUCAGUGCAAAUUACACACGUAUAAUAAGACAAUGUUAGCCAACUAGCUAUUCAGACUACCUAGGGUGUUUUUAAUUCUAUAUUGUAGGAACUCUUUUUUUUUUUUUUUUACACAUUUUACUUACGUUGGUUGAUGGUCACUUCCCAGAAUUAAAUUCUGUUAUUAAAUCUUCGGAGAUAGUUGUGCAUUUGUCGCUUGAAAAAGUGGCACGUCUUUGUUUUUCGCCACCCUGUUGCGAUAUGUCUUACCGGCAGGCAGAGGUCACUUUGCAUGGUAAUUAGUUGGAUAAUACAUGUGUAAGAAUUGAGUUAUCAUGAUGUCAAGUGAAAAAUAAUAAAAUACAUGACAGGGGGUUAAUGAAGAUGCAUGAUUUUAAUAAUGAAAAAUUGCAACGGCACUAUUUUGGGUGCAUUUGGAAGUAAACAGGGGGGCGGGGCUACCUGACGUCAUCGCUAUAAAAUAAAUGUGUAAUAUCUCCGAAACGGAAGCAGCACAAACGAAAAUAUUUGCUGCACAAACGAAACAGACUAUUUUGCUUAGAUUUUGCGUGGGGUGGGGGGCCACCUUCACACAGGUGUCUAUCUAUCUAUCUAUCUAUCUAUCUAUCUAUCUAUCUAUCUAUCUAUCUAUCUAUCUAUCUAUCUAUCUAUCUAUCUAUCUAUCUAUCUAUCUAUCUAUCUAUCUAUCUAUCUAUCUAUCCAUCCAUCCAUCCAUGAGUGCGGGGAUGUCUGCCAUGACAUUGUUGGUUGAAACGUGUACUAUCAGACGGUAGCGGUCUCAGACCAAGGGGUGACAUCGUGAACAGUUUGGUGAUCAUAUCCCACCAAGGCUUAUCAGGGAUGGGAAUGGCAAAUGUGAAAAAGUACGGAAAAGUAGUAGUAGUAUACAUACAUACAUGAGGUUUUCGAAUGUCCCGGUUCUCGAACAAAUUGGAAUUCGAACGAAAAAUGUGAGAUUUGUUUGCUUCUUUUGUCAGACAAAAUUCGGAGGUCGAACCUCGCGAGAUGAGCCGAAAGGACCCGAGAACAUCCGACUGCGCGGCCCGAAUGCCGACUGACUCGUUUGUUAUUGUAUUUUCGUUACUUUGAGGAUUGUAUUAACCCUUAAUCAUGCCUCCAAAGAAAGCAAGUGGGAGCAGUAAAGCCAUCCUAAAACACAAAGACGCUCUUAAAAAAAUGCGACAGUGAGCACCUGGCGCGCUGCGGUUGCGCGAUUGGACCAAAUUAAGCUCCCUGCGCACUGAGGUCCACUUAAAUUUUGGAAAGUACAUCAGGACUUUAAAUAUAUUUUCUAAAUUUCAGCGACGGCUCUGUCACAAUAAUGCGACCAGCGCGGUGCAGUUGCGCGGUCGGCGGCGCGCUACGGUUGCGCCUUCGGCGGUGCACUGCAGUUGUGCGAUAGGACAAAAAUGCGCAACUGAAAAAAUGCUUAAAAAAGGUGGGUUUUUUUAGUCUUGGAACGGAUUAAAAUUGUUUCCAUUAUUUGAAAGGGGAAAAAUAGAUUCGGAAUUCGAUCGAUAUACUUCUCGAACCGCAACAUCGCGUUACUUUCUAAAUCCACAUGCUUGUAAAAGUAAAAACGUAGCUGUUAGGGUUUACAGAUUAUCUUGAUCAUAUGAUUAUCUUGGAAUGUAACCUGUAAUAAUUUACCUAGCUUGUCCUGUCUUAACAAAAGUAGUAGACCAAAGUGCUAAGAUCUUUUGAACUGAUUGACUAGCUGCAGAGGAAGCAAUCAAAGUUGCUUUGUUUACACAAUGUCGUAAAAGACCCCCUGCUAUGCAUUGAUCAGCAAGCCAGGGGCUUCAACCCCAUCCUGUCCACUCUCACCCCCACUCUGUUUCUCUCAAUAAAAAUGCUCCUGCAUGAGGCCUGAGUCAGACCUCAUUCGAUCAUCGCUGAACGCACAGCGACGAAUGGACUCUCCACCUGCAAGUGUCUAAAACGACUUCAAGAUUCAAGAGUUUUUCAUUCGCCAUGUUUGAGCGUGCCAAACAAGGAAUUUGACUUCGGUAAAAACACACCCUCUGUUCAACAUUUAGGUGACUGACAAUAUUUAGGACAUGUGAAUAAUGGCAAAAACAGUGUAGCCGUGUGGUUCUUGCAAAAUAAUUUCGAGUGAGCACCACCCUACCAGUAGCUUUGUGUUUUUUUGUUUCGAUGUGCUCCUUUAAUGUUCCUAGUUAUUUUUUCGUACAACUUAAUUUGUUUCCAGGGCAUUUUACCUUUUCCCCAUAAUUUUCCAGGUUUCUUUGAUGACUGGAAAAUUGGUCAAUCAAUGCAAUAAGAAAGGAACAAAUACAAGUAAGUCAAUUCAUUCAAGGAUACGUAACAAUCACAUGCAGGCGAUCAUUGGAGUGGUGAUGAUAGAAAAUGAAGAGCAACCCAAAGCCGAAAACAGCCAUGAUGUGGGCAGUCAGAGAAAGGAGGAAGAGGAAGAAGUAUCUGUAAUUCCUCUUGCCGAUGCAGUUGUUGACCCAAGGACAGUGGUGGUCAAAUUCCUGUAGAACCAAAGAAAACAUCUCUGAGAUCAAGCCCAAGAAAUCACGGACGUUUGACAGUAAUCUAUGUAAAAAUGAGGCAGGUAUAGAAAAAAAUAACUAUGUAUUACCGUUUUUUUCCGUGUAUAAUGCGCCCCCAUGUAUAAUACGCACCCUAAAAAUGGCAUGUCGAUGCUGGAAAAAAGCCUGUACCCAUGUAUAAUACGCACCCAAAUUUUGACUUUUUUUUUUUUAAUUUACCGUUUUUUUCCAUGUAUAAUGCGCCCCCACUGGUACUACUUAGUACUAUGUUUCCCUUCCAUAUCGAUCCGUAAAUUUACUCAAAACAUUAACGGAGCAGCCUAUUUUGACAUGAAAUAGCCUUGUGCGUAUACCAGCUAUUAUUAGAGCAUUAGCCACCCACAAACUCCCAUGAGCCUCAGCAAAGUGCAAUCAAUCGCGUUUGAAGUGUUUAUGCUGGAAAAAAGCCUGUACCCAUGUAUAAUACGCACCCAAUUUUUUUUAAUUGUCAUGUAUUAUUUUAAAGUCCCAAUGAUCGUCACACACGCAGGGAGGCAAUGGGUCCCAUUUUUAUAGUCUUUGGUAUGGUCUUAACUAGGCUGGAUGUAUUUUUUUUUGUUGGCGUUGAUUUCUCCGACUGCCCGUGAAGGCACCACCGCGUUCAGUGCGGACAUGUGAAAAAAGCGUGCGGACGUGAAAAAGGCGCCUCUGUAUGGGAGAGACGUUGAAGAGGAAUAAAAACACCCUUGGAAACCAAAACUUGCCCCUCGUCAUAACUCGGAGCCGCAACAAAUGUUUCGGAUUUGUGUAGGGUACAUUGUGACAGCAAACAAGCAGGUGAUCGAGCAAGCGUCUGAUACGAGAGCAUUGCGUUCGUAUGGAGCGUGUUUGAAGUGAACAGCAGAGACGAAAGGAACAAGGCAAAGUGUUGUGAAAUAAAAUAUUACCUGUAAUACGCAUUUUGUUAUUUGCGGAUUGAAACUGCUAAUUAAACUGUGAAUUGAAACUAAUAGGAAGAAAACAACUCUCGCUCUUUAUAUAGCUGACGUGUCUUGCGCAUCCGUUCUGCGCAUCGGAUCCAUAAUGCGCAUGCGCAGUCAUACUGCCUCCGUAUGACGUCCGGUCCGCGAUGGAGAUUAAAAAACAAACAAUAUUUGACAAUAACACACCAUCAAGGAUUUCACCAUCGCAUCAAACGAUGUGUCGUCAAUUAUGAAUUUUACUGACUAAGUGUGUUGGGCAGGAUGGCUGAAAGCGAUGCGCGUGUCACGGCUUCGGAGUGGCGAAAUGGAGCAGGGCGACCAAGUGCAGCUUGGACCAGGGUUUAUUGCAGCAAACUCAAAAGACUCGGCAAACUGACGUGACUAAACAACCAACUAACAAGACUAACAGACCAAAGCGUGAAACAAAAGACAGGAACCAAACAGACCGGGACCGUGAGACAUGCAUUGUCCACAUCUGACGCACAAUGCUCCGACGGGGAGUGACCCGCAAACAGAACUUAAAUACAUCACAGGUAACGAGAGGCAGGUGCGUGUGGUUACAUUAAUCAAGGGCACACAGGAAGGGAGGGGCGAGCACACAGACACAUAACCAAAACUGGAGACGAGGCAUGACAGCGCGAUUGACAACAAACAAGAAGAAAGGUGAUUUCAAGUUUUAUUUCGAGGGAGAUUUGUCAUGUCUCGUCCCCAGUUUUGCUAUGUAUCUAGGUUGCCAUAGUUUCUGUUCGCGUCGCCCCUCCCUUCCUGUGUCACCUCAAUCAAUGUAACGUGUUUUGUAUUUUAGUCCUGUCUGCCUCUCGCUCACCGUCGGAUCAUUGCAUGUGUUACUGUCAUGAUGUCUGUUUGGUUUCUGUUCCUGUCUUUGGUAAUGUCACCCUGUCUUUUUGUUCCACGGCUUUGUCGGUCAGUCCUGUAGUUGGUUUUGUUGUACCAUGAUUUUCUUAAAAAAAAAAAAAAAAAAAAUUGCACCCAUGUAUAAUGCGCACCCCAGAUUUUAGGACAAUAAAUUAGUUAAAUUUUGCGCAUUAUACAUGGAAAAAAACGGUAUAUGACAGUUAGAUCCCGAGGAACGACUGCAAGUUUCAGGGGCGAUAUUAGGAUCAGUAGUUUAGGGUUGCUACAAACAGGUUUAUGGGUGGUAGAGGGGGGCCAAGGAUCUAUAUGUGGGGUUUGUGCUCUUUUUAUUUUAUUGUGUGAAGACUGAGGCGUGUUACUUUAAUUCUGAUUCUCUGACGCAUUCACACGUGUGUUUUUCUGAUUGCUAUUAUUAUUAUUAUUAUUAUUACACACACUUUUUUGUCCUCCAAAUACUCCCACAUAGUAUAUCCGAUUCACACCAUUCCAAUUUCAUACUCCACACAUUAUUCAUCCCUUGGGAUUGCUCUCUCAGGAAAUUCUGGUGCCAGCAACUGAAUCUGAUUCUUCUUCUUAUUAUUAUUAUUAUUAAUAUUAUUACUGUUAGAAAAAUGUAUAUAUAUGUUAUCAUGCGUUCUCUAAUCAAUGCUUUACCCCAAUAGUCCUGCAAGAGAUGCUCGCUGUUUGGCCUUGCUGUUUUUAUGAUGUACCAUAGAAGAGAGAUUACAGCUGGGUCAGACAGGACGUAGCUGGCAACUCAGUGACAACUCAACAAAAAGGAAGACAUCUACCGUUCCUUUCUGACAAUGACCACUUUGUUAGACAACAUGCCUCAUUGCUGUCUUGCACCCCAGAUGAACCUCCAAGUGACCAUUAAAGUCAGGGUUUUUCCUAACUAUCUUUAUUGUAGGAUUAGGUUGGAAUGUAUAUAACCAGUAAUAAAUAACUUAGCUUGUUGCAUCCUACACAAUGUCGUAAAACUUCCCUUGCUAUGUUUUUACUAGAGGUCAAAGGUUUUUUUCUUCUGUAUCCAGUCCACUCAAACUCGUCUUCCCAGAUGUUCUUAUCAGUAUGUAAACACCUAGUGAUUUUUUUGCUUACGAGACAAGGCCCACAUGCCUCCCCCUUCCCCUUAGUUGGCUCUUGUCUCACACUGUGGGUAGGGCAAAUCCAAAUAAAAAGAGCGGGAGUGCAUACAGAUAUUUUAGUGUAGUGAGAUUGUUGUGAAGGAUCUGUACUGCACUCCUCGCGAGAAAAGAGUUAAUAUUUCUGUCUCACUUGUGGUUUGUUUGCUGUUGCUCUUCUAUUCACGUAUUCAGUCAGCGAAAUAAACCUGACAAUUACACUCACGUUUUUGUCCGAUUCACACCGUUCCAAUUUCAACAUACUCCACACAUAAAUCCCCUCCGUGAGUCGUCACCUUAUCGUGGUGGAAGGGUUUGCAUGUCCUAAUGAUCCUAGGAGCCAAGUUGUCCGAGGGUUUAUGCCCCUGGCAGGGUCACCCAUGAAAAGGUGAGGGGCCAGACAAAGCACGGCUCACAAAAACCCCUUAUGAGAAAUACUACAAUUGGAUUUUAUUUUCCCUCGCAUGCGGGUCACUGAGGCCCCCCUCUGGAGCCAGGCCUAGAGUCGGGGCUCGAAGGUGAGCAUCUGGCACAGCCCGGAAAGGAAACGUAGGUCACCUUUCCCAUGGGCUCACUACCUGUGGCAGGGGCCGCAUGCUUUGGACACUUGAGUUUAGACACUUGAGCUGUCAACUGAACAUCACCUGGUGCUGGGUCGGCUGCAAUGGUGGGGGAAGAUACCGGUCCGACCUGGCAGACCCAAACGUACUAUGAGGGUUUGCUGGGAAGGUCUGGCAGAACCCCCUGUCAGAAAGAGCUUCAACUCCCACCUCAGGCAGGGCUUUUCCUACGUCCCGGAAGAGGCGGGGGACAUUGAGUCUGAAUGGACCAUGUUCCGUGCCUCCAUUGUUGAGGAAGCUGACUAGAAUUGUGGCCAUAAGGUGGCCGGUGCCUGUCGUGGCGGAAACCCCUGAAUCUGCUUGUGGACACCGGCGGUAAGGGAUGCCAUCAAGUUGAAUAAAGAGUCCUAUCGGGCUGUGGGACUCCGGAGGCAACCGACAGGAGUAGCCAAACCGGAUAGCCAAGCGGAACACGGCUUCAGUGGUCGCUGAGGCAAAAACCCGGGCAUGGGAGGAGUUUGGCAAACCCAUGGAGAAUGACUUCCGGACGGCUUUGAGGAGAUUCUGGUCCACCAUCCGGCGUCUCACAAGGCGGAAACAGUGCACCAUCAACACUGUUUACAGUGGAGAUGGCGUGCUGCUGACCUCGACUCGGGACGUCGUGAGUCGGUGGGGAGAAUACUUCGAAGACCUCUUCAAAUCCACGAUACAACUUCCAUUGUGGAAGCAGGGCCUGGAAACUUUGAGGUUGACUCUCCAAUCUCUGGGGUCGAAGUCACAGAGGUAGUUAAGAAACUCCUCGGGGGCAAGGCCCAGCGGGUAGAUGAAAUCCACCUGGCGUUCUUAAAGGCUCUGGAUGUUGUGGGGUUGUUCUGGCUGACACGCCUCUACAACAUUGCGUGGACAUCGGGGUAGGUGCUUCUGGAUUUGCAGACUAGGGUGGUGGUCUCCCUUUUUAAGAAGGAGGACCAGAGGGUGUGUUGCAACUACAGAGUAAUCACACUCCUCAGCCUCCAUGGUUAGGUCUAUUCAGGGGUGCUGGAGAGAAGGGUUUGUCAAGAGGUCAAAUCUCAAAAUCAGGAGGAGCAGUGUGGUUUUCAUCCAGGCUGUGGAACAAUGGAUCAGCUUUUUUACCCUCGGCAGGAUCCUCGAGGAUGCAUGGGAGUUCGCUCAACCAGUCCACAUGUCUUUUGUGGACGUUGAGAAGGCGUUCGAUCGUGUCCCUCGGGAAGUUCUGUGGAGGGUGCUUCGGGAGUGCAGGGUCCCGAACCAACUUAUAAGGGUGGUUUGGUCCUUGUAUCAUCAAUGCCAGAGCUUGGUCCGCAUUUCCGGCAGUAAGUCGAAUUUGUUCCCAGUGAGGGUUGGAGUCCGCCAAGGCUGCCCUUUGUCACCGAUUCUGUUCAUAACUUUUAUGGACAGAGGUUUUAGGCACAGCAGAGCCAUUGAGGGUGUCCGGUUUUGGGACCUGAGCAUUGCAUCUCUGCUUUUUGCAGAUGACGUGGUGCUGUUGGCUUCUUCAAGCCGUGAUCUCCAGCUCUCACAGGAGCAGUUCGCAGCCGAGUGUGAAGCGGUCGGGAUGAGGGUCAGCACCUCCAAAUCUGAGACCAUGGUCCUCAGUUGGAAAAGGGUGGAAUGCCCUCUCCAGAUCCAGUGGAGGACUUCAGGUAUCUCGGGAUCUUGUUAACGAGAGAGGGCAGGAUGGAGCAUGAGAUCAACAGGCGGAUCGGCGCAGCGUCGGCCGUGAUGCAGACUCCGUACCGGUCCCUCGUGGUGACACGGAUGGUUUGAUAAAUGUGUUAUUUAUGUUACAGUUAUUUGAAUAACUGUUAAGUUACAUCAGGCACGUUCUCAGUUCCUCGUUCGUGUUUAUGUAAUGUUAGCAUACCAUAUCGUUUAGCCUGGUGUUGCCUAUUCAUGUCUGUUCUUAGUGAUGGAGUUUGUAAAAAGAGUUUUCCCCCCAAAAUGUGACUUGUACUACUUAGCGUAUUGUAUUUGUCAACGUGAAGUAUUUUAAGAUGAUUCUGGUGAAAGGCACACCUUGAGUUGGCAAAAUUUGUGAGGGCAUGAAUAUAAAUGGACACAGCACAUUUCAGAUUCAGAUUCACUUACAUGAUUGAAAAUAUUUUCAUUCGACUUUUUUGGUGGUAUUUUGUGUUGAUUUAUGAUAAAACCUCAACAAAAUAAAUUCAAGUUUGUGAUUGUGAGGUCACAAAUGUGAAAAAGUUCAAGGGGUAUGAACAUUUUGUUAAGACACCAUACAAUUGUAUGUAACACACCUCAACACAGUUGUCACACACAGAGCAGUGGGAGCAACGUGGUGGCCGGUAGAAGUGACAAGUCGAACACCAUUUCAUCCUGACCUGGAUUCCUCUGAUCUCCACAGUUUUAUAAAGAGGAGCACGGAAGUCAUCAUCCUUAUCCUCAUCCUCCUCAGCUACAGACAGAGAAAUUGAUUAAAGAACAAACAUGUCAACUUCAAAAUCUAUAAUAUUUGCGCAGUGAGAACAUAAAAUGACUAUUGUUUCAGUCUUGUUGAGUUCUUGUGGAGAACCAGUCCGCGCGUUACCAAUUCCUUGGAAUUCUUUGCUAUUUUGCUAUCAAUUCCCUCAGCAAAUCCAGUCACCAUGAAGUGUGUCACUACGCAUGUUACGCACAUGACGCAACAUUGUGUAGUGACAUAAGCAAUGAGACACGGAGUGUUGCGUUUUUGAUCCGCUGCAGAGGGUGAGUCAACAACCUAGCACCAGCAACAUUAGCCCGACGUGCAAUUUUACUGCAGAUAAGUAACUAACACUGCUUUUCAUGGUAGCUCAAUUUCUAUAAUUGUAAAAUCUGUCAUGCAAAUCGCGUCUCAUGUUUUAUUUUAGAUAACGGCGAGAGAAACCAUCUGACUGGUUCAGACGCCAGCAGUACGGUACCUCUCGCAUAUUCGGUCCCAGAGGCAGGGAGGAGCAAAAUUGUCUAAGGAAAGGACUGAGGGAUGUCAUCGUACAGUGACAAAAUUUGUAGUUAAAGGCUUGCACUCAAUUGCCACUGUAGAAGCCCCUGAUUUCGGGAAUUUAAUGGAGGAGGCAUGAAACUCACACUUCUACACCUUGACAUUCUUCAGCAGGCGAAGAUUAGAAUAUCAUCAAGGUAAACGAACGACUGCGGGCGCAGCGCGUUGGUGAGGCCGAAAGGCACCACCUGGUAAUUCUAGUGGACACUGGGAGUGCUGAGCGCUGUUUUACACUCAUCACCCUUUGAUGCACACUAAGUGAUAUGUGUUUUGUAGGUCCAGUUUGGUGAAAACCGUGACCCCCUUGGAGGGUCUCAAAUGUGGACAAGAUAAGGGGCAAGGAGUAGCGGUUCUUCAUCGUGACUUCGUUGAGCCUGCGAUAGUCGAUGCAAGGGCGGAAGGAGCCAUCCCUCUUGCACAGAAAAAAAAAAAACUGGCACUGGCGGGCGAGGACAGUCGGCUGAUUCCAGUUGCCAGAGAGUUCUGGAUGAACUCCUCCAUUGCUUGGCCUUCCGGGUUGGACAGCGAAUAGAGCUAUCCCCUGGGAGGAGAAGUGACAGGCAGGAGAUCGCUUGCGCAAGGGCGGUGUGGAGGAAGGGAGAUUGCCUUGGCCUUAUUGAAGACCUCUUUGAGUCUAUGAUAGCAGGAGGGCCAGUUCAUGAUGUUGGUGUGUUGGUUGGUGGCAGGAUCUCUGGGUGGACUUGCCGCCUCCUUCAGGUAACGACAGGGAUGUCAAAGUCAAACACACCGAGGGCCAAAAAAACAUAUUUGCUACAAGCCGAGGGCCGGACUGGUUCAAUGCUUAUUAAAA